rnacentral:tRNA from 1 species
GCCAGAGUGGUGUAGUGGUUUGAGUGCUGGACUAUGAUUCUAGAGACCAGGGUUUGAUUCCCACUCAGUCA